UUUUUUUUUUUUUUUUGUUGGGGAGGUUUUGUGAAUGAAUAACUUUAAGAAAGAAGUGGGGAUUUAUAUAUAUACCCGGACAAGGAGAUUCCGGGGUGAGGGGUAUGGGGUUGGGUGGGUGUGGUGAGAAAUUUGCGUGGUCCAAAUUAAAUGAGUGUAUCGUGAGCGUUGAAUUCGCAGGAAUUGGGAUGGCGCACCAAUUAAAGCACAGUCGUUUUGGGGAUAAAAAGUCGUAGCACGAGUGCGCCACCGUGGCGUGACGUCACACAAUUUAGGAACAGACGGGAGAAAAAACAAAAAAAAAAGCAUAAAAAAUAAAAAAUAGUAAAAAAUGAAUGGAUGGGAUGAGAAAGGUGGCUGAUAUAUCGUAUUCCUGCCGUCGGAUGAAAGGUGACAAGGAAUAUAUUUUUAUAAUAUACUUAUUCUCAUAAUUAGAGUAGUGGAGGCCUAAUCUUUACUUCUAAGCCAACGUAAAAUAAAAUUAUUCCAAAUUAUUUAAUUUAAAAAGUUUUGGUAAAUAAAAAUAAUAUAUUCAUGUGGCUGUCGACUGAUUUGUGGUGGAGUGGGGGUACGCCUGUCCCUUUGCUGCGUUGAUAUUUUCCAAAGGUCAUUUUUUAAUUUAUCAUCUUAAUUCUCUUAAUCAUGGAAGUAAUUAGUUUUAAUUAGUUAAUCAGAGUGAUAAGGAUGCCAUUGGCUGGGGCGGUUUGCGCAGGCUCUCUCCCCAGCCAAUUAAGAAGUGGAAGGCAUCUGACUUUUUCUAUUAGAAGAAAUUAUCUAUUUAUUUGAACAAGAUAAAAUUAAUAAAUCAAGAGAUUCAAUAGACUAAUUUUUGCGUAUGUCAUACCUAGGUUUGAUUUGUUCCCAUUCUACUUGGAGCAUCUAUAUCCCCGACGCUUAUGGUCCCCAAAAUUAUAAGAAAAAGGAAAAAAUUAAAACCCUAGUUAUUCCAGAUGGCUUCUUUCUUUCUUGCAUGAUUGCUUCUACGGUUUAAUUUUGUUUUCUUCUUGGUAAGUUUACUUUGAUUCUGUUUGAGAUAAACUUAGUUAAUGUAUUCUGAUCAUGUUAUUCAAUGGGCAUGUAUUCUGGCUCUCUACAAUCACUGAAGUUGUUUGUACCCAUAUUCGUUGCCAAGCCAAAGCCGAUAUUAAUUGUCUGGCUCGUUAUAGUUUGAAUAUUGGCGAUCAAAGCGAAUGGCUUGAUUGUCCUCCGUCUUUCAUCAUCGACCUCCUCACUGACGAUCUUUACACUAUGUUUGGAUGAGGGAAAUAAACUUGGAAUUUGGAUAAAAGUCAGAAUUUAUAAAUUGACAUACACAAAUUCCCUUGUUUUGAUUUAUAACAUAGAAAUUUAGAAUUUCGCGUGGAAAAAAAAAAACUUGGAAUUUGGGGCCUCCAAUUUCCAAGUUUAAAUUCUACGUAAAUAGGUGUCAUUUCCCAAUUUCUAUGAUUGGGAGUUUAAAAUUAACAAAUUCUAUUUUCAAUUCCAUUGUUCUUUUAAGUUAACCAAACAACAAAAUUAAAAAAUUCUAGAAAAUAAAAUCAUUUCAUUUCAAUUUCCGUCAUUUUAAAAUUCCUUAGUAAUCUUAAAUUUCUUCAUCCAAGCAUGGUGAGUGAUUUGGUUAUUUUAUUUUUAAGAUUGUGGACUAUUUUGUACUACUUGCCUUUUCGAUGGGUUUGGAAGUGGUUUCAACUUCUGCUCUCUAAUGAAAUAUGUAUCGUACAUUCAAAGAAAAAAAAAAAGUACGAGACUUUGUUAUUUUGGUCUUACUCAACCAUAUGUAAGAGUUUGAGAUAUUUGGUGUGAAAACUAUCAUAAUAAGGUAGUUGUAUCGAAGUUUUUAUAUAGGUUAGGAUGGAAACUCACUCUACAUCCCAAUUAUUUUCUUCCAUGCAUGAUGUGAUAUCCAAUUUUACUAAUGACAAAUUUAAAAAUUCACACCCCUAAAACAUAGAUCCACAAUAUAAAGAAACAUUUCUUACUAAAAAUCCAACUAUCUAGUUACUAAAUCGUUAAUUAAACAAAAAAUUGUUCAAAUGCAUGAUUUAGAUUAACAGUUUACGAUAUGAUUCAUACGACCGUAAAAUAUUACUCUCCUCCAUAGAAACUGACGUUAGUUAAACCAUUUUUUGCCCUACAAUACGCAAGUUUUCCUGUUUUAUUAGGCCAGUAGCAAGUUUCUUUGUUUGUAAUUGGAGCAAGUAGUAAGUUAAUUAUUUACUUUUAGGCUAAUAAAAUAGAGUCGUAAGCUAUAUAGUUUAUAUUAUUACUGAGCUUUCUAUGUUGUUGCUGGCCGUCUCCCAAAUUUAAAAAUAAUUACCAUGCAACGCAAUUGGAUAACUCACCAGUUUGUCCUAACCAAUCGCACAAAACUUUGAAUUCAUUUUGUUUUAUAAAAAAAAUGACAAAUAAAAAUAGAAGGUAUAGGGCAAGUCGUCAUCAUCAAUCCAAAGACCGGGGGCUGCCCAUGCAAGGGGUUUCUAGACCAACACCACAGUCCACAACCCUUCCUAAUUCCUUAAAAUGGUUACCUAACAAGCAUCGAAACCAUCUGCUAGCUACUAGCUACUAGCUUAGCUAGGAUAUGUAAAGAUCAUACGUAUGAUGAAAACUACAACUACGUCCCAACAAGAAGAUAGAAACUUAUAACCGAGCGAUUAUAAUGACGAUAUUUCGAGUUAAUUACGUACCGUUAUAUGUUUUAGCUAUUUAAAAAGUAAGACAGAUGACUAGUUUUAAAGAACAAGAGCACUAGACCUAACUAAACAUCAUUCGCGUUCCUAUAUUUCAAUAUAUGACCAGUAGCAGUGCUACAAUUCAAUAUUUGACACGAUAAUUAGUUCAAGAAGCUUCUAACCUCCCAACCUCCAACUACGUGCCAUGCCCUACAACCCUUAGGGAUCAAGACUCAACAUUGGACAAUAUUAGUAAAACACAAAGCAAGUGGGGUCAUUUACACAAAUUGAUCCCUUCCUCUCCCUCCCUCUCUCUCUCUCUCUCUCUCUUCUUUAAUAUCUCUCGCCCAACUUUGAUACUGUAUGAUUUUCUUAGAAUAUCGCCACAAAGAUUAGUAAAAGGUAAAACGUAAGCAUUCAGGUCAUUUGAAAAAUUGACCCUCUUUUACUCUGCAGAUUUUGCUUGAAAUAUCACUACAAUAACAUCAUGUUGCAUGAAAGCCCCUCUCCUACAACAACUCCACCCAUUCAAGACUCCAUAUCAUUGGAUUCCAUUUGCAACACCAGAUGAUAACAACACAUGGCUGUGGGGACUGGCGAUCAGUAGAAAGUUAGAAACCGUGCUUAUAAGUUAUAAUCAUGGCUGGCUGGCUGGGGUUGGUGAUUGUAAUAAUUAGCAAGUUUGGUGAAACUUUGUAAUGGAACUUCAACUCAUCAGUAUCAUCCUGCGUAAUGUUAGGUAGACUAAAAUUUUAAACUAAAUUUGUUAAUCAUAUGACGUAUCAUUAAUAUAAAAUAAACAUAUUAAUUAACACUUAAGUAAUAAUCCAAUCAUAAAAACUUUGAAACUGAUGAAAAUAAGAAAUGGAGACAGACGACGAGCUCACGCUGAAAACAACGUCGCAUUUAGUAUGGUGUGUGUGGUGGUGGUGGGACACUUGGGGGUUUUGAGUGCAAAGACCCAAUAUUCUAAUUCCUCCACUUCGACCAAGUAUUGUUGCUUUACCUAAUAGCCAUGAAUCAAUUCUUAUUUUUUUAAAUUUUUUUUGCUCAAAAAUCAAUUCUGAUAUUCCAUUCCCAAAAUAUCAUGAUUCGAUUCUUAAAUUCCAUUUCCAAAACAUGAGUCAACCUCUCAACCAUCAAUAGCCUUGUGUUUGUGUGACACAAAUCUACCUUUCAUUGCCCUUGUGUUUAUAUGCUUUACGCACUUGGAUAUGGACGACUUCUCUACAUGAUGCAUAUUCCUUUGUUUCUAUGACAUGCUUGCAGCACAAGUAAGUGUUUUUUGUACUCUCUCGUUUUUCUCCUACAUUUUUUUUAACUUUAAAAUUGAAUAAACUAAAGAAAAAUUAACAAAGAAAAGGAAAAGAUGGAAUGCAGAAGAAUAAUGUUUGCACAUAAGGUUCAAUUAAAUCUGUGGGAUGUUGAAGUGGUGAAGGUGAAUGAGGAAAUAUGUCCGUAUCAAACUAGAUCAAAGGUUCGAUUCCCCUUUCUAUUUACAAAAUACCAAUUUAAGAGAAUGGCUAGAGGUUGACAAUUAUUUGUGUUCGGAUUUACCCUUUUAUAUCCAUGUAGUGUUCAUAUCAAUCAAUCAUGUUUACAGGCACACCAAAUAAUGAUAUAAUGGAAGCUGCUAUUAACACUAAUAUCACAUGCACUCCUCCCUCAUAAAAUAAAUAAGGAAUGAAAGUAGGCAUAAUGGUGCUAAUAAUCAUUCUCUAGCACAAAUAAUUCAUACUAUUCAUUAGAAAAACAAUAAAAAUAUUUGGUUUCGCUAGCAUUAUCGCAUAAAAAUAACUCAUGCUUAGGUUAACAAUUCAUAAUAUUAAGGGAAUUUUAACGAAAAACUCAUUAGAAAAACCAUAAAAAUAUUUGGUUUCGUUAGCAUUAUCGCAUAAAAAUAACUCAUGCUUAGGUUAACAAUUCAUAAUAUUAAGGGAAUUUUAACGAAAAGCUCUUAGUACUGUUCACUUUAACGAAAAAUCACAUUUUUACACUAAAAAAUUAAUCCUGGUACUAUUCAUUUUACCCUUUAUUUUGUUUAAAACUCAAAGUUUUCAAAUCAUUUUAAUUAAUUUUUCUUAAUAUUAAACACUGAAGUAACAUUAAAUCAACAUCUAAUAAGAUAAAUUCAAUAAUUAACAUGACAUUUACUUCAAAUAUUUUCUUUAAAAAUUGUUAGUUAUUUACAUAAACUCCUAUAUUUUUGUGCCAAUUUCGAGUCGUGUUCGAAUUCGCAACUCCUACCCUAGAUCUCAUGCCAAUGGAUAGACAUCCACAUAUUCAAUAGUAAAAGCACACCGACUGACAGACUGUCAUAAUUUUUAAGUUCUCACUAUCUUGGAUCAUCCAAAAGAACACAAAAAAAUAAUGGAGAUGGAUUGUCUGCCCUCCCCUCCUCAUACUCUUUUUAUGCUCUCUUGUUUUGUUCGGUCGCGGUUAAGUUACGUUAACAUUUUAUAUUAAUUUUUUUAUAAAAAUAAUAAGAUAAAAAGCAAAACAUUUUGUACGGUCACGCUCGUGACCGUACAAAACAAGAAGAUAUGAAGAAUAUACGGAAAAAAAGAGAGCAGACAAUUCUUCUCCAAAAAUAAUAGCCCGCGUUAUCCUUGUCAAUGACUUAUUAUCUUCGCAACAAAAAUAGUACCCAAGGUUGUACUUACUAAAUUUAUAUACAUACUUUAUGUGCUACCCCAAAAAUAGGUAGAAGAUGACCACGCUGAGAAAAUAUCAGACCGACCACAUGAAAUUUAUAGAAAAAAAACGUGUGUUAGCUUUUGACUUACGGCCUCAUGUUUCAUGUGAUCGAAAGCUCCAACCGACUCGAACCACAACGUGCAGAACCCGGACUACUACUGUCAAUGAUCCGGUGGAGACGCGUACGUCUAGGGUUUGAGUCAAAUUUGAAAUUAAGACAGUAUCAGCUUUUCAUGCACUGAGAAGGACUGCUGGACUAAUUAGUCCGUUCCGUGUUGGAGACGAGAGAGCAUGUUUAAAUUUAGUCACUUGAAAUAAAGACAGUAUCAGAUUUUCAUGUGCUGAGAAGGAUUCCUGGAUUAAUUAGUCCGUUCCGUGUAGGAGACGAGAGAUCGUAUUUAGAUUAGUCGUUUCAGUCCAUUGUCCUGAAAUGAUAAACGAUGUGACUCUUCCUAAUUAUUCCAAUCCCAAGCCAAAUUGCCAUCUACCAAACAACUAAUAAGCACUUUAAAAGUUAAACAUCCUGUCAACAUCUGCAAAAAGACUUUGAGCACAAAGUGCCUCUAGACGUUGGAAACUUAGACGUGUAGAAAGGUUAAUGCUAGAUCAACAAUAUUUAGACCAAAUUUUGUAAAUCAUAUGACGUGAUUGUUGAUGAUUAGAGUAUUACUUAAGUGUUGAUUAAUGUAUUUUUUUUUCUUAUUGGUGAGACAUCAAUGAUUUGUAAAUUUAACCUAAAAAGUUGAUUUACCUAACUAGCAUUACUCUGUGUUAAAAUAUACACGCUUGCACAAACAAGUUCGUGUUAUGUAUUAUAUAGGUGGAAAUAUGAAUAGAAGGCAUGGAGAACAAACCGGAGCAUUUUGGGCUUCAAUUUGUAUUGAUCCCUACUAUCUUCAAAAUUCAAUUGUGUGAAAACACUCUUCCAACAAUCCAAAUCUUGGCAUUGGGCCAUAUAUUUUUGUAAAGAGACUUUCGGACUCUUUUUUUUGGCAUGCAUUUCUACCUCUUGGACAAAAUUGAAAAAAUGAAGGAGAGCCGAGGGACGAAAACUAGAAGAGAAGCGCUUAAAGAGAAAAUAAAAGUGCAAAAAUCAAUAUCCAUACAGUUCUUUAUGGUCCAAUUGAAAAAUAAUUUUCACCCAUCCAUUGAUUCUCCUUUGAAUUUUUGCAUUUGUCGGCAAAAUAUGAACAAACAAAAGUGUGCAAUGGAAGAAAAUGAAUGCUUUUGAGCCAGGCCGGAGCAAAAAGAGCGAUCAAAAGGGCCCAACACAAAGAAAAUAAAGAACAUAACCAAAGGAAGGUUUCUUGAUUUUGUUUAGAUUUUUUUUUAUUUCCUAUUCUAUUUUGGUAAGUCUUUUCUUUCCUUUUAGAAAACGGAUUUUGAUUCACUUCUUUCAACUACGACAGAAAUUAUAUCUUUCCUAUUCCAUCACGAUUUUCUUACAUUUCCUAUUGUCCAAUUUUCUUGCCAAUGAGCAUGUAAAAGGAGAAGGCUAUAUAUACAAGAAAAAACAGAGACAUUCGACUCUGUCGGAUUCAAGGAAAUCAUGACAGCCAAUAUUGCUUGGCUGAAGAAGUUUAGACUGAGACAACGCCCCAAGAACACCAAGUUAACUGACUUACCUUUUGACAUCCUCGUCAACAUCCUUAAGAGACUGCCUGUAAAAUCACUUUCGAUGUGUAUCCGAGAUCUUCAAGAACAUAUUGUCAACAUGCAGUUGUCUCAGAGCUUGAGUUCAAGAGUUUCAGUACUUGAUGUUGAACAAAAAUUGUACACAAUAUGUAAACAAAUAAUUCACUCGACACAAUUUCCCCUUAUUCAUUUUUCGAAGAGGGUUUUAUUAAAUUAAGUUCGACCAAUUCUAGGCUACGUGCCUAUUAAUUACAACCCUUCUUUUGGAAAAGGAAUAUCCUUUGAUUCCAAUAUGAAUAAAUCGUAACUUGGGGGUUUGGAUGUUUAUUUGAUAUUGUAAUUGUACCUAGGUAGAACCCUAGAUUGCCUACGUACCCUCAUUGAGGGAUUAAGUCACUCGUAGUUCUUUAUGUAUUUGUUGGGGUUUGAUGCCUUGUGUAGUUUCAGCUCAUGCAGGCAAUGAGCGUUUGAUGCCUUAUGCAAUUUAGGCUCUUGUAGGUGAGGACUUCAAGUCACUUGGAGCUUUUGAUGCCUUGUAUAGUUUUAGCUCAUGUGGGCGAGGACUUCGAGCCAUUAAAGCAAUUGGUGCCUCAUGCAGUUUAAGCUCGUGCGGGCGAGGACUUUGAGCCAUUGGAGCAUUUGAUGCCUUGUGCAAUUUUAGCUCGUGCGGGUGAGGACUUUGAGCCAUUGGAGCAUUUGAUGCCUUGUGCAGCUAAAGGCAGUUUUAGCUCGUGUAGGCGAGGACUUUAAGCCAUUGGAGUAGUUGAUGCCUUAUGCAGUUUUAGCUCGUGCACGUGAGGACUUUGAGCCAUUGGAUCAUUUGAUGCCUUGUAUAGUUUUAGCUCAUGCGGGUGAGGACUUUGAGCCAUUGAGCCAUUGGAGCUUUUGAUUCCUUGUGCAGUUUUAGCUCGUGCAGGCGAGGACUUUGAGCCAUUGGAACUGAAUACAACUUGGUGCCAUUUGAGAUUUGAUGGGGCUUUGUGCCAUUUAAAGUGACUUUGUGCCAUUUGACCACUUCAAUAAUUAAAGGGAAUUUGAUCCAUGGCGUGAGUUUCACUAAUUUGAAGUGGUGAGUCCAUCGAGUUUUGUACUUUGAGAUGGUUCGCAUCCACAGUAUUGAAGUGGUUCAAAGUUGUCUAUAUUUGUAUUGCUUUUGUCCUCCACUUUGCUCCGUGUCUUGAUUUGAUCUUGGCCCAAAGAUUAACAGUGACCACCCAAAAGAUUUUGAAGACAAGUAUUAAUUCAAUCAUGCCCAUGAAUUAAUGCAAGCCAUAAGUUGCGCGGGUUUGUCCUUGUGGGAUCAAACCAACCUUCAACUAAAGUUAUGACAAACUUUGUCUCUUCACCUACUUAAUUGCUUGCUGGACGUCUUUAUUUCAAUUCCUAACUUAAGAAUUUGAAUGAAACUUGGUCAGCAACUAUACUAAUUUUGGUGCACCUUGAGCUGAGCGUAUCCUUCAAAGCUAGCAACAAGCUUCUUUUUCGGACAAUUAUAUGGUCAACUUUGUGCGUUAGUGCAAUGGUGGGCUUCGAGCUUUGCUUUCGAGACUUCCGUCAUGAUUUGGAGAGGACCAUGAAAUUAAUCCAUUGCUUUCCUUGUUUACAUUUUUCUAUACAUGUGAUUGGGUAUAAACGAGGGAAUAUGAGUGUGGAAUUUAGCGGUUUUAUACCUCUUGAUAUUUGAUAAGGCUUCGUGCCAUUUGGGAUUUGAAUAAUUAAUAGGUAAAUGACCCAUUAAUUAGAAUUUGAGUAUAACGAUCUAGAAGGGUUUUAGAGCCACGUCGCAUUCAACUUUUUUAAAAGGGAACUUGAUGGUGCUUUGACUUGUCUUGUUGCACUUCUUUUUCUCCUCCUUUUUUUUGUUUGGUGUUGAUGAGAUGGGAUUGCCCAUUUUUUCUUCCUUGCUUUUCUUUGUCUUGGAACCCUUAUAAGUUUGUCUCCAUCUCAUCUUUUUUUCGUUCUUCAUAUAAGCAACAUUCCUUAUAAAAUUAGGAACUUUGUUGCGUGAGCAGCAUCCAUUAAAUGGAAAUCUAGGAACUGUGCUUUGCAGACUCCUCUUUUACUAUUUGAAGAAUUUGUAAUUACUUGGUCAAAGUAGCAGGAGUGAAUUUAGUUUAUAUAAACCAGGGAUUCAUUCUGGUUUCAUGGUUGCGUCUAAAAUUUGAUAUCAGACUACCUACGUAUCCUUAACGGAAUCAAACCAGUGUAGUUCAUGAAAUAUUUGAUUUGGAUUUGUAGACUUGUGUUCAGACUUGGCAAAAUGAAAAGCCAAUUGGAUUUAUUUAAAACCCAUAUAUGACCUUCGGUAAUCACCUAAUAGGCUUUGUGAAAUACGACUUUGAUUGGUCUUUUCCUUAAGUAGCUCAGGACUUGAACACAUAAAGUUGGACUCCAAGUCCCACGUGAGAUGCACGGUUCAGUCUUUUCCAUAAGUAGCUCAGGACUUUGAAGACAUAAAGUGGGACUCCAAAUCGCACGUGAGAUGCACAGUUCAAAAACCCAAUCAGAAAUAUUCCCUGCUCCAGUAUUUGUUUCUCUAAAUAGCGAUGUCGAUAUACUCGAGCUCCCCGUUGAUUUCGCAAUGUUUUUUUUUUUGAAAUUCCUUUUGAGUUUGUUAGCCGUUGAAUUCCAAAUAAAGAUGGGUAAGAUUGAUGGAGUUCAAACUCUUUUGAAUUGCUCCAAAUUAUCCUCUUUUCCUCCUAAACCGUUGCUUGUGCUCCUUUUGUGGAUCGAAAAUUUCAAAACGAAAAAGAGAAGAAGAUAACCAGCAAGUGACCCCAUUUUCAUUUUCUGUGUGUCUGAAUUUGAUUCGGACUGGGUUGAAGCUCUGAACUGCAACUGAUUGGUUUAAUUAUUUCGUGCAGGUGUCACUGGCAACAACAUCUCUUCAAUUUGGUUGUUGCUGUGUCCUUUAGGUAAUAAGCUUCAUUGGGUUGUAAAAACCCUCUUUUUGUGUACUGGUAGAUGAUAAACCCAAUUUGAUGUUGGUAGUUUUCGUAGUCUAAAUUUAUUUAACUUUUCGUUUAUCAUGAGUAGCUUUCAGUACCAGUUUGACUUGAUUUUUGACAUGGUUGUUGGACAAACUAUUUUGCAGCAUUGAGUUCGUUGAAAACAAGCGUUGAUUCGUGACUCCAAAGGUGAGAAUUGCACUCAUUGUGUCUGCCAUAUUUUGAAUGAGUCUUGAUGUAUUAGUGUCUGAUUAUCACUUUUUGACAUCACCGUUUUCUCCUUAGAGAGUCAUGUGACUUGGUUUGGUCAGUAGGCAUUAGACGCUUUUUUUUUUUUCCAUCUAUGUGUUUCCUUCUAUGCUGAAUCAGAAAAGAAAUAGGCAUUAUGCCUUUUCCAUUUGAAUGUCAUGUGAGUGGCUUUAUGAUAUCCAUGUUUAUGGUAAUUUGAUCAUGCUCGCUAUUCUUUCUCAUCAGCAUUAGUCAUUCAUAACAUUUUGUCCUUUCAUUUUGGAAUCCAUCAACAUAACUUGGAUUUUUUGAGCUUUUGCAGAUAUAUAACAUCAAGGCACUUUGAAUUCUUUUAUAUUCUUGUCCCAUGCCUUACCUUUCUUUUUUGGUAAAGUCUCAUGCUUUGACUUUGGUCCAUCUUUGAAACACUAUGCAAACAUCAUCCCAAUAUAUUUUGCUGGAACUUUACGAAUAUAAAGGGAGACAUCAUCAUUUUCAAUUUCUCAUUUUUUUCUUGGACUCUUAUCCCAAGUGGGUUUUCAUGGAAUUUUAUGCAAUGGCAUCCUUCGUGUCUUGUACCCGUGAGUAGCAAAGAAAACGCGAAAGAUUUACAAAAAAUUUCUUUGCUCUCGAGUUGCAUGUUGGUAUAUGUUGCUCUCUUGUUGUUUUUCUUCACAGAGACCAAGCAUAAGUCGGUCAAGGGGAACAAAAGUUGCAUUUUGGCUUCUUUUGAUCCAUAAAUGCACCUAUUUUCUCAUUGGACUACAAAGAAUGACUUUGCAUAUAAAACUUGGCUUCCUAUGUCUGCUUCCUUAGCUUGAUUUUUGACAAAUGGCAUUUAGAAUGAUCCUUUGUUGUUUUCAAGUCUCUUUAACUUUACCUAACAUAAUAACCACAUUACAUGAUAACCACAUUAUGGCAUUCAUGUUAUCUAGAAGACUUUUCUUCCUUCUCCUCCUCUAGAGUAAUCUUUAAAGUCUAGAAUGCCAGCAACGUGUUGAUUGGAACUUCAUGGGGGUGGUUUAGACCAUCCCGAAGAAAUUCAUGGGAUUGACGGCAGCGGCGGGAAGCAGAACUUGUGUGUUUUUGUUCUUUUUAGAUUUAGGCAAAAAGAUAACAUGUGGCUGCUACCAUUUUUGGACUGCUUUGUGUUGUUGUUGCAGGUAUAGAGGAAUACAGGGCUACCAUUUAAGAAACCCUCAUUGCAUAGAAACCUUUUAUGGUGGCUUGUUGGCAAUUUUAUUGUAUAAACUGAAGGUUACAGGUUCUAGGUAGUUGAUUAUGCCCUUUUUUUUUACCCCACUUUUGUCUGCAACACAACAUCAAACAAGAGAAAUAAAUAAUUUAACAGGACUUGUUUCAUACCUGGUGAUGAAUGUUCUUCUUUGGAUCUUGACUCGAAAGCACAAAUGGUUGAACUCCUUGUUCUCUUUUGUGGCAGCACUUCGUUGCUUUUGGUAUUUUCUCUCAAAGUUUCUCUUAUUUUCUGCAGAGUAUCUUCUCUCUUUUUCUGUGUCUACCCUUCUUACUGCAAUUGAUGCCUAUUUAUAGACAUAUUAUAAGGGCUCUAGAGCUUUAUGUGGGGGGAGAUAGAGGCCAUGUCUUCAUCCACUUUCUCUUAACCUCUCUUACUGACUCCACGUUCUUUUGUUGCAGAAAAUGGGGAGCCCCUGUUUUGCACGCUACUUCCCCCUUUUGUAGGAAGGAAUUCAUAUCUUAUUUAUUAUUAUUUAAUUUAUUUAUGGAUGUUUGAUUUGUAUGUAAAGCCUAUUCUCAUCUUUUGGGCUGAAUUACUUUUUUAUUUUACUUUGUAGUUUCACCCAAUUUGUACGGGCUCUAUUUUUUUUUAUAUGUUAUAUAUUUUUGUUGUUCAACACUUGGAUCAGUCAACAAUUUGUUUUCUGCAACUUGUUUUGCUUUAAAGUGAGAACUGUGAAAACCCGUACUGCAUCUUAUUUGAUCCUUUUAAGGGAGAAGUUCUACCGCUCUCGGUGGGUGACGUCCAAGUACCCGAAGAACACUGUAUAUAUGACAAGUAUGGUAUGGGAUUUGAUGAUUUAACCAGCACCCAUAAAGUGAUUCGUGUUUCUGCAGAUAUCUAAAAGAAUAUGGUAGCCCUAGUUCUUGUCUUGGGCACAAACUCGUGGCGGAAGAUACACUCGGUUCCUCCUCAUCAUAUAAGCUCAUCAACAAGCUUAUUAUCUGCAAACGGAGACAUGCAUUGGUUGAUUCAUUUGGCCGCCGACCAAUUCUCAAGUAAAAGAGAAAGCUGUAUAGUUUCUUUCGACUUCAAGACAGUUGAGAUAUGCGCCUAUUUAUUCUGAAUUCACGCGUCCACUCUUUCCUUUCAUUUGCACCAAUAUCUCCACAUCCUAUUCAAUCAAGCAAUAUGCGCCUAUUUAUUCUGAGAGGAUGCAUGGCAUUUAUGGCCGUCAGAGGUAAGCAUGUUGAGAUAUUGGUGCUGAAAAACUAUGAAAGGAAAGAAUGGACGCGUGAAUACACCAUAAAUCUUCUGGUUCAUGAUCAUACGCUCAAGAACCAUCCGCGGAUUGCUAAUUGUGGUCAGUGGGAGCAUGGCAUUUUUUUCUUGGAUUCUCAUAACAAUGCAUUAUUUUUCGAUGUAAGGUGUCCGUUCCCUAAAACAUGUGACAUAUCCAAUGUUAUUUCCUAGAGACCCAUCCCUCAAACACUAUGGCAAUGUGAUUGACCAAGAACAAGUGUCUUCCGGUAUUGAUUUGGAAUCCAGCGAGUUCGAAUGGACUUUCAAGAAAAAUGUUGUCCAAUCAGAAGAACAUCACUGGAAGCGUAAAGUUUUUCAACAAAUUGUGGAAACAUUCUUGAACAGAAGGAAGGAGUAGGAAUAAUUUCUUUUAUCUUGAGAAGGUGCACGAGGCUAAGGCUUCAAUGUUCCGCGAGAGGAAGUUUCUUUUUUUGUUGUGGCAUUUGACUGAUUGUACUUUCUUAUUUUUUUUCACCGAAAAUUGUCAUUCGGAACGAUUCCCUAUACAAAUUUUCUUUCGUGCUUUUAAUAAAUUUAGAGUGCUAAUAACAACUGUAUUGUUUUGUUGUUUGAUGUUGUAUUGCUAUAUAUUUAUAUUGUUUUUCUUUGAAUUUUGCUUCAAACAAAGUAAGGGAGACAAAAUGUAAACAAAUCAAAGGACCCAAAAAAUACACACAGCAGGGUAAAGAUCAAAGGAAGUCAGCAUGAGGAAAAAUAAACACCCGAAAAACAUAUCAGAAUGCGCCAACGACCUGUAAAUACGAAUUAACUGACCCAUCGAUGAACAAGUCUACGGAUAUAAAUAUAUGCAAAACGUGAGAACAAGCUUCAACAUAGGCUGGAAAUGCUCGUCUCCAUAAGAAUUAAUGCCAUUAGAUGAGAACCAACGUAAACAUUAGAUUGACGAGAACUCGGACCGACACGAGUUCAAAAUUGACAUGAAUCUGAGACCUAUACAAGUUCAAUGUAUGCCAUGGGUGCAUUGUCCCCUCGCCUAGGCAGAGUUCUGAUGAUUCUUGUAUAGCCACCAUUCCGCUCCCCAUAUCUGUCGGGUACCUCAGCAAACAAAGCAUGGACGAUCUGUUUCUCAUAGAUAUAUCCCAGCGCCUGUCUCCUCUUAUGGAGAGAUCCAUCCUUGGCCAGUGUGAUCAUCUUGUCCACGUACUUCCUCAUGGCACUUGCCCUUGCUCGAGUCGUUUUGAUGCGUCCAUGUUUAAGGAGCUGAGUAGUGAGGCCUCGAAGAAGGGCUUUCCUCUGGUCUGGAGGCCUGUUGAGCUUAGGAACUUUCCUGCCAUGUCUCAUGGCAGAGACACGACCACCAUUGUCAAUGAUGGUGAAGUUGUGUUCAAAACACAUGGACUCUGUGAGAAGACAGAAAAAAGCAUGAAGGUCCUGCCAACACAGACACCAAAUGACAGAGAACAUAUCUAAACAGAAACGUGACAGUAAACAAUCUGAUGAAAGUAAGACAAACAAAAUCCACAAUGCAGUGCAGUAUGGAUUUCACGUUUCAGAAGUCCCAAAACCAUCUAAACAGAAACGUGACAGUGAAUAAUCUCUGGAUGAAAGUCAGAUAAACAAAAUCCACAUUGCAAUGCACUAUGGAUUUCCCAUUUCGGAAGUCCCAAAACCAUCUAAACAUAUCUAAACAAAAAACGUAAACGAAAAACAAAAAACGAAAUGGCUGUCAAACGAGCCUUAAAAAGUAAAGAAUGUGUUGCUACAGAUGCAAUUGAAGUUCCGUGAAGUAAACUGAACAUAUACAAAGAUACAAGGCUGAACUCAAAUAAUGCACAAAGAUACGAAAUUUAACUGCAAUAAUCCACAAACACACCAAAUUGAACAGAACCAAAGCACAAAAGAUACCAAAUUGAGCUGAAAUAAUACACAAAGAUACAUAAUUGCACUCGAAAAUACGAACCCAGCUGCCGCCAUUGAUAAUUACAGGAGAUAAUUCAGCAACAAAAGGAAACGGUAGUGACGGAGAAGAGAGUGGUACCCGAGAGGCCGAGGGAGAGGAGCGGGUUAAGGGGAGAGAGACCCGAGAAAGACCCGAAUUGGAACUCGGGUUUCCGGAGACCGACGCUGAGGCGGAGGCUCCGAUGCCUGCACGGUGCCGAAGAAGAAGAAGCGGUAGGAAUGGUGCACCUCUCCGGCAGGGAUGGAAGCGCCGCCUUCAGAGACGCCAUGCUCCAUCUGCUGCAUUCUGCUGACCCGGUAGCCGUUGCCAAUGCCAUUGUCACCGCCAUUUCAAAACCAUACAACAAAAUCUCUGGCUCUGCUCUUCCUAUUUUGUUCCUCCUUAUCUACGAGGCUACGAGCCGUGGGUUCUGGGUUAGUGGGUUGGGCUUGGGUUUUCCUAUGGGCCCAAAAUUCAGUCCUUAAAUUUGGGCCUCUUUCAACUUUUGCCCCAACUAGGCCCAAU
rnacentral:lncRNA from 1 species